UCUGCUCUCUAGUCUCUCUAGUGAUUUCAAAAUCUCUCCUUUUUAUUUUGAAACAAACAAAUCCCUUUACUCCUUAACACUCAGCCUCUCAGACUCGGCUUCCUAGUCUCAGAUCAGGAGUUGAAAUCCUAGGCUUUUUGCUUCCUUUUCAAGGUUAAAUCCCUGAUAGCUGAGAGUUCUUUGAGGUUAUGGAACCCUCAAGUGAUGCACCCCCUUCCCAAGCAACACCUACUGCCACAGCUGAACCUGUUGCCCAAGCUGUACCUACUACCACUCCAACUAAUGCUGAGGUUCCCCCACUUCCAC